UCGAUUAGUUUGAUCAUGGCUCAGGACGAACGCUGGCGGCGUGCUUAACACAUGCAAGUCGAGCGGUAAGGCCCUUUCGGGGGUACACGAGCGGCGAACGGGUGAGUAACACGUGGGUGACCUGCCCUUAGCUCUGGGAUAAGCCUAGGAAACUGGGUCUAAUACCGGAUAUGACUCCAUGACGCAUGUUGUGGGGUGGAAAGCCUUGUGCGGCUAGGGAUGGGCCCGCGGCCUAUCAGCUUGUUGGUGGGGUGAUGGCCUACCAAGGCGACGACGGGUAGCCGGCCUGAGAGGGCGACCGGCCACACUGGGACUGAGACACGGCCCAGACUCCUACGGGAGGCAGCAGUGGGGAAUCUUGCGCAAUGGGCGAAAGCCUGACGCAGCGACGCCGCGUGAGGGAUGACGGCCUUCGGGUUGUAAACCUCUUUCAGCCCUGACGAAGCGAAAGUGACGGUAGGGGCAGAAGAAGCACCGGCCAACUACGUGCCAGCAGCCGCGGUAAUACGUAGGGUGCAAGCGUUGUCCGGAAUUAUUGGGCGUAAAGAGCUCGUAGGUGGCCUGUCGCGUCGGCUGUGAAAACUCGGGGCUCAACUCCGAGCUUGCAGUCGAUACGGGCAGGCUAGAGUGCGGCAGGGGAGACUGGAAUUCCUGGUGUAGCGGUGAAAUGCGCAGAUAUCAGGAGGAACACCA
rnacentral:rRNA from 1 species